AUCUCCCAGAAAGCCUUGAUCCUUGGGCACGUCCACCAAAGAUUUUGAUAAAUUGGAAAACAAGAACAAGGAUGAACAUGACAAAACCCCCGGAGAGGAGAAGCCAUGCAAAAAUAUGGAAUGUGGAGAGAGCUGCAGUCAGAGCUCCCAUUCUACAUCCCAUCAAAGAAA